UCCCGGCACGGGAGGUAGUGACGAAAAAUAACAAUACGGGACUCUUCAUGAGGCCCCGUAAUUGGAAUGAGCGCAGUCUAAACCCUUGGGCGAGGACCCAUUGGAGGGCAAGUCUGGUGCCAGCAGCCGCGGUAAUUCCAGCUCCAAUAGCGUAUAUUAAAGUUGUUGCAGUUAAAAAGCUCGUAGUUGGAUCUCGGGCGCAGGCGGGCGGUCCGGCUCGCGCCGGUUCGCCGCCCGUUAACCUGCCCCACCCCUGCCGGCUCCCUCCCGGCGGUGCUCUUUACUGAGCGUCCCGGGCGGCCGGCGCGUUUACUUUGAAAAAAUUAGAGUGUUCAAGGCGGGCCCGCCGAGCCCGAAUAACUGCGCAUGGAAUAAUGGAAUAGGACCUCGGUUCUAUUUUGCUGGUUUUCGGAAUCCGAGGUAAUGAUUGACGGGGACAAACGGGGGCAUUCGUAUUGCGGCGUUAGAGGUGAAAUUCUUGGAUCGCCGCAAGACGGGCUACUGCGAAAGCAUUUGUCAAGAAUGUUUUCAUUAAU
rnacentral:rRNA from 1 species